rnacentral:lncRNA from 1 species
CACUUUAACGCUAAAGGGAAUUGUAGUGAAGCAUGGAUGUUUUCCCAUUAAGAGUGAGAACUGCUUGCAUUGACUUCCCGGAAUGUGUAGUACCAGACCCUCAACCUUAAAAGAAGUUCCAUUCUUCUCCACUUCUCUCUUCUCCCCAGGACCCAUGACUUUACACUUCAAUAUUUCUGCAGGGCUCACAGUUCACUGAGAGGCU